AUGUAGCUCAGUGGUAGAGCACUUGUUUAGCAUAUAUGAGUCCCUAGGUUCAAUCCCAAGCAU
rnacentral:tRNA from 1 species